UGCCAGCCGCCGCGGUAAUACGGAGGGUGCAAGCGUUGUUCGGAAUUAUUGGGCGUAAAGCGCGUGUAGGCGGUUCGUUAAGUCUGAUGUGAAAGCCCGGGGCUCAACCCUGGAACUGCCUCAUAAACUAUCAGUCUAGAGUUCGAGAGAGGUGAGUGGAAUUCCGAGUGUAGAGGUGAAAUUCGUAGAUAUUCGGAGAAACACCGAUGGCGAAGGCAUCUCUCUGGGCCGAUAUUGACGCUGAGGCGCGAAGGCGUGGGUAGCGAACGGGAUUAGAUA
rnacentral:rRNA from 1 species